UUGCUCGUCACCGCCGCGCGCGAAGGGAGGGGCUCAUCACUGCUGCUUUGCCCUUGUGUCCGUGCCUCCUGAGUUAUCCCUUUAGUUUUGGCUGGUUGGUUGCUUGGGAUUUUGGUGGUCUUCAUCAUCAUGCAAAAAAAAACUCAAGAAAAAAGAUUACACUACAAUGAAGUUCACGGAAAAUUUACACCCAAUGUCUGUCUUCUUCCUAAACGCAAUAUCCAGGCAAUAGAAAACUACUUUAUAACCUGAAUGUAGACAGGAAUUAUUUGGAACCACAUUGGACUUGGAAAGAUGCAUGGAGUUUGUUU
rnacentral:lncRNA from 1 species